CUAGUCCUCCCUUAUCUGCAGGGGAUACAUUCUAGAGUCCCAGUGAUUGAUGAUAAUAAUAAUAUCUGAAACAGAGGACAGUGCCAAGCCCUGUGUACAAGCACUGGGAUACCUUCACAGUGGAUCUGAUCGCUGAGAUGGCUACUAAGUGUCUAACAGAUAUGAAUGUGUGUUUGGUCUACUGGAACUGAAAAGGGAUUCUGAAGUCAAUACCCUGUGGACAUUGAGGAUCCGACAUCAUUCGUAGGUGGAGUUUCUGCUACCUGGGUCACCUUUCCUCUUUACCUGUAUAACUCCUGAAUAUUCUUCAAGGAUCACUGAAAGACCUGCUUAUCCAGGAUGCCUGCUGCACUCUUAACUCAAGUCUUUUCUAUGUCUUCCUGUAUUUUUUGCUUCUUGCACGGGUCAGAAUACCUAAUACAUUGCAGCAAAGAAGAUCAGUUCUUCUACUGUCUUACUAUGGGAAAAGCUACUUAAAGUUUACUUGAAUAAAUGCAAUCAUUUGUUCAGCGUUUA